rnacentral:rRNA from 1 species
UACGGAGGGGGCUAGCGUUGUUCGGAAUUACUGGGCGUAAAGCGCACGUAGGCGGCUUUGUAAGUUAGAGGUGAAAGCCCAGGGCUUAACCCUGGAAUUGCCUUUAAGACUGCAUCGCUAGAAUUGUGGAGAGGUGAGUGGAAUUCCGAGUGUAGAGGUGAAAUUCGUAGAUAUUCGGAAGAACACCAGUGGCGAAGGCGACUCACUGGACACGUAUUGACGCUGAGGUGCGAAAGCGUGGGUAGCAAACAGG